UAAAUACUACCUCCGUCCGAAAAUACUUGUCCUAAAAAUGAAUGUAUCUAGACUUAUUUUAAUUAUAUAUACAUCCAUUAUAUGCAUUUUUAGGAUAAAUAUUUUCGGACGGAGGGAGUACAUA
rfam:Hordeum vulgare subsp. vulgare, WGS project CAJW01000000 data, contig: morex_contig_50591